rnacentral:rRNA from 1 species
AUGCCGUCGUCUCAGGUUCCGAAGUUUUCAUCUCUGCCCGAUGAGUUGAGGGAUGGCCGUGGUGUUGAGGGUGCUGGUUAUGCCCCCCUAGCCCUAGCUAGUGCUUCACAGAGGCAGGGUUUUGGUAUUGAUGUUGCUAUUUCAGCAUUGGAGCGCGCUGAGCAUAUCAUAAGUAAUGUGUGUUCUGAGCUGCAAAAGGUCCCAACAACAGUUGAGCGUUUGAGAUGUAUCAAUGGUAUCCUUCAUGAAGGUCAUCAAUUUAACGCUGAGGAAGUUGUUGACUACAUUGAGAUGGAGAGAAUUUUAAUCGGUGAUAUGCGUGACAGUGCCGCUAAUCUAGUUCAGAGCUUGGUUCGUCUGUUGAACAACAUGAAGUGUAUCAGAACUACGCAAAACUCUCGCUGCAAGCCAAAUGAAGAAAGUGCAAAUGUUGUUAUCAAGCAGUUUGAGCAGGAUGAGGGUGCUGCCACCAACAACAGGGCUGGUGAUGGUACUGAGGUUAAUGUUUUUGAUCACGAAACGAAUGAUGUUGGCUUUGAGCAUCCUGAUGUUGAUAUUGAUCACGAUGAGGCUGCUGGCACCGACAGCAGGGCCGAUGAUGUUACUGAGGCCAAUGUUUCUGAUCAGCGUACCUACGAUGUUGGCUCGCAGCACCCUGUUGUUGAUGAGACCAGUCAUAAUGUUGAGGUUGCUGUUGACGGUGGAGUUAAUGAUCCAUCCACUGAUAAGUGCAAGGGUCCUAUUGUUGGCGAUGAUCCUUGUUUGCCCAUUGGUGAUGUUGCUUUGAAUGUUAGCAGCAGCAAGAUCGAUGAUGUUGCUGUGAAUGCUUCCAAGAUUACUGAUGUUGAGCGUGAGAUUGUCCUUAGUGGUGGAGAUGAUGCUCGUGAUGUUCCAUUGAGUAGUGGGCGCAAUGUUGGUACCAAAGUUGCUGAUGAGGAUGAUGGUGCUGCCAGCAUACUUGAUGCCAAAUCGCCUGGUGUUGGUAUUGCUGGGAAUGAAAAUGUUUCUGGUUGUGAAGAUUUGCCGCCGGAGAAUUUCCCGCCUGGAGGUCUUGAUUACGGUGAUGCAUUGCAAGAUGCUUCUAGCGUGGAGGAGGUGCCAUUCGGUGAUGAUGAUUUACUUCUGUCAAUUUCUUCUGACCCCUUGACGCAGGAGGCGCUAUUGUCGUCCCAGGAUUUUCUUUCUAUAGACCCUGAAAGUGCAUCAAUAUUGGUGUCCUCUCAAGAUGUCCCAUCGUCAAACCCUAAAACUGGAGGCAUAAUGGUCUCAUCACAGGAACUACCAUCGUCGUCAAACCCUGAUAGUCCAGCAAAAAGUGGUAAUGUUGUUAAGGUUGAUACGUUUUUCUUCGCUGUUACGAGGUUGCGCACGAACCGUACGAAAUGUCACAAGCCGAUGUUUCAAAAUAAAGAAUGUGAUGCCAGUGUUGGUUCUAUUGCUAAAGCGUUUGUCCCCACUGGCAUGCUCAACUCAGACAGUGCUGAUGUUGUUUUAUAUUCUCUACGUCAGAAGUACCGAGACACUGACAAGUUGAUAGUUCCCAGAUGGGUGACGACCAAGAUCCAUGAUGGAAAUAUUGAUUCCAAUGUGCUAAAUUGGUUCACGAGAUCAGGUGAGUGGCUGGAUCUUGGUGAGUAUGACUAUAGGUUCUUUGGUAGCCAGUUCUCGGAGCUCGAGCGUGUAGCUAUUGAUCUUAACCAGGGGCAUUCUCCCGAAAAGACAAGAUCUGGUGUUAUGAAGGGGUGGUUGGGAGCUCUGAGAGGUUCUAUGGCUGCUUGUGCAGAUAGUCCUACUACACCCAAGAAUCCCAUUGUGGAAUUGAUAGACAGCGAUGAUGAUGUGUUUGACAAGAUUGCUGGCGUUGGAAGAGUCACGAGGAGCGCUGCUGCCAAAGGUUUAUCUCCCCUUGCUGGAAUAAUGGCUCGUAGAGCUGGUGGUGCUAGGAAAGAUCCCGCUUUGGAUUCUGGCAAUGUUGUAAGCACGAAGCGUGCGCCCAGAGCUCCUAUAAAGUUUUGCUCCCCUGUGCAGCAGCUUCACCCUUAUAAAUUCCCUCAUCUGGACAAGGCUCGCAGGUUGUAUAAUCUAUUGCUUAGUGAUGAAUGGCGUGAGAAGUAUGCCGAGAAUACAUUCUCAAUGAUACCUCAGCCUGAUGAUAACGUAACUAGCUUCACUGGGAAAUGCAUCUGGGAAGUUUUUGCACCUGGGCAAAUGAUGGAGGGUGAUGUAAUGGACUUCCUCAUUGAUGAUUGGAAGCAAGAUCCCUAUAGAAAUGCUGAUUUUGCAUCUGGGAAAAGGAUAUUGCUGAGUCCAUAUUUCAUCACGGUUGUGCUUGACUAUUCGUUUUACGAGGAUGAAAAUAAAGUGUUUAAUGUGGAGAGUGCAGCGAGAGAUUUCAAGAGCUAUGUUAAAGCUAAUGAAGACUUGCUCAGUGCCGACCUUAUCAUGAUGCCUCUAUUCAAGCCUAUGGUUUUAUCAAAGGAUAGGAAAGUAAACCACUAUUCCUUAUAUGUCAUGAAUCGGUACCGAAGUAGCAUUGACAUCCUUGACUCUUUACCUUAUCCGAAGAACCAUCGUCCUUCGAAGAACACCUAUCACAAAGACUGCGAGAAGAUUCCACGCAUUGUUGAUUGGAACAUUGAGGAUCUGUAUAGAGUUGUGUUCAACGGGAAUAACAAUCUUCUGGUGACGGAGCUUCCCAAGGAGGUUCAGGCUUUGUCUCUUGAUGCAUAG